rnacentral:rRNA from 1 species
UACGUAGGGCGCAAGCGUUGUCCGGAAUUAUUGGGCGUAAAGAGCUCGUAGGCGGCCUGUUGCGUCCGCUGUGAAAUCCCGGGGCUCAACCCCGGGCCUGCAGUGGAUACGGGCUGGCUAGAGGCAGGCAGGGGAGAACGGAAUUCCUGGUGUAGCGGUGAAAUGCGCAGAUAUCAGGAGGAACACCGGUGGCGAAGGCGGCUCUCUGGGCCUGUACUGACGCUGAGGAGCGAAAGCGUGGGGAGCGAACAGG